UAAAGGAACUAUGACAAACUAAAUGGUC
rnacentral:piRNA from 1 species